rnacentral:lncRNA from 1 species
UUGUUAUAAUUAAUGUAGUGAAUCUACAUGACGGUUCAUGUCUGAUUGUCAAGCGAGGAUCACAUAUAAUGAACUAAUUCAUUCUUGCAACCCUUUUCCUUAAUCUCCCUGUGUUAGGUCUGUGUUCUGCAGGUUUCUUCUGCUCUGGAGGAGCCGGUAGCCCAACACCCCGAGCCAAUUCCUCUCUGUUCAGCUGUCUUUGUGAGGUACUAGAGGCGUAUACCACAAAGACAGGCGCAGCCUUCUGGAUGCACAAUCUGUCCUGCAUCAGUAACUCCAGUAAUCCUGGUAAAAUAUGGGUUUCUCCAGUUUGUAAUAACACAAUAAAUACUUCCAGUAAAAGGGCAGUACAUCAGUUUCUUCAAAGCCUUACUUGUUGUGAUAAAUGUCCCACAAAGCACUGGCUUUUUAGUUUGACCUUCCCUUAAAGUAUUCUACAAUGAAUCAGUGCCUUACAGUGUUACGUUGUUUAAAGAUGUUGUUCCCUUGGAAGUCAAAACCGUUAAAUCAGCAUGUAGGAAGAGAAGAGUGGCUCCACUUUGGUUUCUUGUCUGCAAGACACAGACAUUAACUCAGACAUCUUUCAUGCCUUAUCAUCCGUUCUAUUACAGGCGGGGACGCGACCUGGAUCGAAAUGGUAGCGGCGCCACAGGCAGAUUCAGACCAUAUUGUGACUCACCCACCGCCACGUCUCAAGAGUUCACAUUACGCCUGUUCCACCUACAGAGGGGAUAUAUGCCCCAGGGGUUUCUAUUGCCCUCUUGGUUCUGCCUAUCCCCAGCCCUGUGAGGCUGGCUCUUACUGUAACCAGACUGGAUUAGACGCCCCGGCAGGGCCCUGUGCUGCAGGAUAUUUCUGCCCAAAAGGCUCCUUUGACCCCCAUACCACCUCUUGCCCCACUGGACACUACUGCCCCCUUGGAACUCCUCUUCCUCUGCCCUGCCCUCUUGGAACCAUAAAAAGUUCCCUCGGUGGAUCCACGGUUGAGGCUUGCCAGCAGUGUCCCGCGGGUCACUACUGCCACCACAGAGGAAGAGCUGAGCCAAGUGGCCAGUGUGCAGAAGGCUACUACUGUCCUGAGGGCCAGAGCUCAGAGAGACCGCAGCAACAUAUCUGCUCAGUAGGACAUUGUUGUGAGAAGGGCAGCGCCAGACCGACAGCCUGUCUCCCAGGCAGCUACCAGUCCAGGCAAGGCCAGGGCAACUGCGAGACAUGCCCUGCUGGUUUCUAUUGUCAACAUCAAGGUAACGCCGAUGGGCUGGAUAAUCGCCGGAUAACAAAGCAUUGAGCAGCUCUAAACAUAAACGUAUUCUACACCGUGUCUGCACAUCAGGAAUGACGCUUCCACUGCCAUGUGAAAGAGGAUUUUACUGUCCCAGCGGAGCAGCAAGUCAACAACCAUGUCCAGCAGGGACCUAUGGAAACAUGUCAGGAUUGAUUGAAGAGUGGCAGUGCUCACUGUGUGACGUUGGGAUGUACUGUAAAGAACCAGGUACAAUAAAUCCUCUCACUCCAUAUCAGUUUUUUAUUACGUAUGUGUAUCACAGAUAUCUAUCUUUCUCUGUUUUUUGGUGUAAUCCAGAAACAAUUAGAGGGAAAUGGCUGCUCUGUUAUUUCUUUAAGGAAGGACUUUCCCCACUGGGCCAUGUGCUGCAGGCUUUGUUUGUGUAGGGGGAGCUGCUGAACCUUCACCACUAGACAGAUUGACUGGAUUCCCAUGUCCUCCGGGCUUUUUCUGCUCUCUGGGGACUUCAGUACCAAAACCAUGCCCAAAAGGAACAUUCAGGUGCUUAUCCUGCAUUAUGUCUGUUUACUAUUUCAUCUUCCUCUAUUAAUAGCUGUGCAAUAUAUCAAUAGAUGGUGGUGUGGGGAUAUGGCACAAUUGUUGUCUUUUUCUGUUUUUAAAGGCUGCAUUACAGUAACGUGAUGUAAAAAAUGUUCACCUCUCUGGACAGUGAGCAGAGCGGGCUUGUGGAUAAGUCUCAGUGUCGCAGCUGCAGUCCUGGCUUCUACUGUUCAGGGACAGGCCUCUUCGCCGUCUCUGGACCCUGCCUGCCAGGUCAGAAAUAGGACAGAUGAUUUCAGCUAAUGUGAAAAUGAUGCUUUUUCAAACAUUUUAUUGGAAGUGCUUCUCCCCAGGUUUCUACUGUCUAGAGGGAUCCAAGACUGCCACUCCAAUGUCAAGUGUAUCUGGAGGUGUUUGUCCAGCAGGCCACUACUGCACAGAGGGCAGCAGCGUGCCAUCACCCUGCCCAGCUGGCUCGUACCAAAAUGAGACUGGAGGGAAAGGCAGAGAUGACUGCAAGCCGUGCCCGUUUGGUAAACAAGAAGCCGUACUGUAUGACCUGAGCUCUGUGCUAUCGGGAGAUGUCCUCACUGACUGAAUGUCUUUGCCAGGCUGGUUCCAGGAUUUAUCGGGUCAGACAGAGUGUAAUCCCUGUCCUCCUGGGUUCCACUGCCAGUCACUGAGUUCCAGCCCCACCAGCCCUCUGCCCUGCCCAGCUGGCUACAUCUGUCCCAGGGAGAGUCCGGACAGACAACCUCUCCCCUGCCCCAAAGGCACCUACAGUCCCAAUCAGGGUCUCACCACCACAGGUAAAAAGCCAAAAAAACAUGUGAAUUUCCUUGUGCUGUUGUUUGGCUUUUUUUGCUGACUGAGAAGGAGAAUUAAUUGCUUGUUAGGGCAAGUGUUUCGUUUUGGAACAGUGAACUACUGAUUAUUCAAAUCCAAUUUUCCUUUCUAAUCUGCAUUAAUAAGAAAAGUUUGAAAAACCUACGAAACAAAACAAAAAAAGGACCCUCAUUUUUCUUCAAAUGAUCCUCCUUAAGUUAUUUUGCUCCCAGACUUGGACACUUGUAGCAGUGUGCAACCAUCUGAGACACUUGAUGAUUGAUCUCACCUGGCAGGUAGCUUGUUUUGCUGCUUGGACUGAGGUCAAAGCUGUCCAUCUGUGUUUGCAGGUGAGUGCCUGGCGUGUCCAGCGGGUCAGUUCUGUGGGUCUGAAGGUUUGGUCGAGCCGUCAGGAGUGUGUGCUGCCGGGUUUCUUUGUCUGAUGGGUGCCACGGUGCCCAACCCGACUGACAACAGAACUGGUUCUCUCUGUCCGCCUGGAGUUUUCUGCCGACAGGGGCAGAGAGCAGGUAGAUGGAAUAAAAGAGUCCUUGAGUGAUAUUGAGUAAUGUGUAGGUUUUUCCAGUGAGUUUCCAUUUGUUUUAAUGCAAUUUUGUGCUGAUUUGAUUUAUUUUUAAAGUUAGUAUCCUCCACAAAAAUGUGUUGUUUUUCAUUUUUGUGCCAAAGGAGAUUGCUUGGCAGGGUUUUACUGUGACUGGGGAUCCAGCAGAGCAGAUGAGGCUCUGUGCCCAGCUGGGUUUUUCUGCCCCAGUGGAACACCAGUCCCCAUGCCUUGUCCUGCAGGAACAUUCAGCUCUGAAACAGGCAACAUGCAUCAAGACAACUGCACCACCUGUACUCCUGGAUACUACUGUAAUGGUAGGAAACAUUGUCCUUAAGUAAUCAUACACAUGAUGAGCUAGAUAAUCUUCAACAACAGAGGAUACUAUGGAGAUGAUUAAUUAUUUUCCAGUAGUAAUCAUACAAAAUGAUAGAAUACUGCACAUUACUUUUGCUCAGUAUCACAUUUUAUUGAUCAUACUAAGUUAUUCUCCGUUCUUUUACUAACUGUCACUGACAAUCUGUCAAGAUGUAUAGAACAUAUAAGAAAAGAAAAACAGGAAAU